UACGUAGGGUGCAAGCGUUAAUCGGAAUUACUGGGCGUAAAGCGUGCGCAGGCGGUUGUGCAAGACAGAUGUGAAAUCCCCGGGCUCAACCUGGGAACUGCAUUUGUGGCUGUACGGCUGGAGUGCGGCAGAGGGGGAUGGAAUUCCGCGUGUAGCAGUGAGAUGCGAAGAUAUGCGGAGGAACACCGAUGGCGAAGGCAAUCCCCUGGGCCUGCACUGACGCUCAUGCACGAAAGCGUGGGGAGCAAACAGG
rnacentral:rRNA from 1 species